rnacentral:rRNA from 1 species
AGAGUUUGAUCCUGGCUCAGGACGAACGCUGGCGGCGUGCCUAACACAUGCAAGUCGAACGGACGAGGGGAGCUUGCUCCCUGAGUUAGUGGCGAACGGGUGAGUAACGCGUGAGAAACCUGCCUUUCAGUGGGGGACAACAGUUGGAAACGACUGCUAAUACCGCAUAAUGUAUUUUAGGGGCAUCCCUUUAAUACCAAAGAUUUAUUGCUGAAAGAUGGUCUCGCGUCUGAUUAGCUAGUUGGCGGGGUAACGGCCCACCAAGGCGACGAUCAGUAGCCGGUCUGAGAGGAUGAACGGCCACAUUGGGACUGAGAUACGGCCCAGACUCCUACGGGAGGCAGCAGUGGGGAAUAUUGGGCAAUGGGGGAAACCCUGACCCAGCAACGCCGCGUGAAGGAAGAAGGCUUUCGGGUUGUAAACUUCUUUUAGUAGGGACGAAGAACGUGACGGUACCUACAGAAAAAGCAACGUCUAACUACGUGCCAGCAGCCGCGGU